AUUGAACGCUGGCGGCAGGCCUAACACAUGCAAGUCGAGCGGAUGAAGGGAGCUUGCUCCUGGAUUCAGCGGCGGACGGGUGAGUAAUGCCUAGGAAUCUGCCUGGUAGGGGGGGACAACGUUUCGAAAGGAACGCUAAUACCGCAUACGUCCUACGGGAGAAAGCAGGGGACCUUCGGGCCUCGCGCUAUCAGAUGAGCCUAGGUCGGAUUAGCUAGUUGGUGAGGUAAUGGCUCACCAAGGCGACGAUCCGUAACUGGUCUGAGAGGAUGAUCAGUCACACUGGAACUGAGACACGGUCCAGACUCCUACGGGAGGCAGCAGUGGGGAAUAUUGGACAAUGGGCGAAAGCCUGAUCCAGCCAUGCCGCGUGUGUGAAGAAGGUCUUCGGAUUGUAAAGCACUUUAAGUUGGGAGGAAGGGUUGUAGAUUAAUACUCUGCAAUUUUGACGUUACCGACAGAAUAAGCACCGGCUAACUCUGUGCCAGCAGCCGCCGUAAAAC
rnacentral:rRNA from 1 species